rnacentral:tRNA from 1 species
CAAUUGGUAGUUUAUUAAAAAUAUUAAUUUUGGAGAUUAAUGAUGGGGGUAUUCCUUCCUUUUGA